rnacentral:rRNA from 1 species
GGUUCGAUCCUGGGCUCAGAUUGAACGGGCUGGCGGAUGCUUUAUACAUGCAAGUCGAACGGCAGGCACGGACUUCUGGUCUGGUGGCGAGUGGCGAACGGGCAUAGCAGCAGCUGCACUGGAACGUGCCUAUAGCGGGGAUAACUACGCGAAAGGUAGCUAAUACCGCAUACGCCCUCGGGGGAAAGCGGGGACCUUCGGGCCUCGCACCAUGAGCGGGCCGACAUCGGAUUAAACGGCCUGCUGGUGGGGUAACGGCUCACUACAGGCGACGAUCCGGUAGCUGGUUUGAGAGGACGACCAGCCACACUGGGACUGAGACACGGCCCAGACUCCUACGGAGGCAGCAGUGGGAAUUUUGACAAUGGGGAAACCCUGAUCCAGCCAAUCCCGCGUGUGCGAUGAAGGCCUUCGGGGUUGUAAAGCACUUUUGGCAGGAAAGAAACGGCACGGGAUAAUACCCCGUGCAACUGGACGGUACCUGCAGAAUAAGCACCGGUUAACUACGCGCCAGCAGCCGCGGUAAUACGUAGGGUGCGGGGGCUGUUAAUCGGAAUGCAUUGGGCGUGUAAAGGUGGCGCAGGCGGUUCGGAAAGAAAGAUGGGAAUCCCAGAGCUUAACUUUGGAACUGCAUUUUUAACUACCGAGCUAGAGUGUGUCAGAGGGAGGUGGAAUUCCGCGUGUAGCAGUGAAAUGCGUAGAUAUGCAGAGGAACACCGAUGGCGAAGGCAGCCUCCUGGGAUAACACUGACGCUCAUGCACGAAAGCGUAUGGGGAGCAAACAGAUUAGAUACCCUGGUAGUCCACGCCCUAAACGAUGUCAACUAGCUGUUGGGGCCUUCGGGCCUGGUAGCGCAGCUAACGCGUGAAGUUGACCGCCUGGGGAGUACGGUCGCAAGAUUAAACUCAAAGGAAUUGACGGGGAUCCGUACAAGCGGUGGAUGAUGUGGAUUAAUCUGAUGCAACGCGAAAACCUUUACCUACCCUUGAGGCCUGGAAUCCCGAAGAGAUUUGGGAGGCCUGCAAGAGAACCGGAACACAGGUGCUGUGCCGGUUGUCACGUCAGCUCGUGUCGUGAGAUGUUGGGUUAAGUCCCGCAACGAGCGCAACCUUUGUCAUUAGUUGCUACGAAAGGGCACUCUCAUCGAGACGUUGGUGACAAAAUCAGAAGGUGGGGAUGACGUCAAGUCCUCAUGGCCCUUAUGGGGUAGGGCUUCACACGUCAUACAAUGGUCGGGACAGAGGGUCGCCAACCCGCGAGGGGGAGCUAACUUGCGAAACCCGAUCGUAGUCCGGAUCGCAGUCUGCAACUCGACUGCGUGAAGUCGGAAUCGCUAGUAAUCGCGGAUCAGCAUGUCGCGGUGAAUACGUUCCCGGGUCUUGUACACACCGCCCGUCACACCAUGGGAGUGGGUUUUACCAGAAGUAGUUAGCCUAACCGUAAGGAGGGCGAUUACCAUUGCAGGAUUCAUGACUGGGGUGAAGUCGUAACAAGGUAAC